AAAACGWCUCUCGACAACGGAUAUCUCGGCUCUCGCAUCGAUGAAGAACGCAGCGAAAUGCGAUACUUGGUGUGAAUUGCAGAAUCCCGUGAACCAUCGAGUCUUUGAACGCAAGUUGCGCCCCAAGCCGUUAGGCCGAGGGCACGUCUGCCUGGGUGUCACAC
rnacentral:rRNA from 1 species